GUGAGAAGAAUCCGGAGGAGAUGAAUGAUAAAUAUCUAAGCGACAUAAUUCUGAACUUCAUGAUUUUUGGGAAAGAUACCAGUGCAAAUUCACUCUUAUGGUUCUUCUACAUGCUCAAUAAGAACCCUCUAGCAUAAUUUAUUGCUAUUCGAACAAGCUUCUAGUGCUUGCCCUCUUUUGUGCCCCUUUCAUAUUUGAUUGUGCUUUGGAAUAUUGGGACAUUUGGUUUAAAUUUCAGUUGGCAUUCUUCUAUCAUCUCUCUGACCUUGUUUUUGUGUCAAUGAUGCAGGAGUCCAUUCCUUCAACUUUCUUGGUUUGGGAUAUCAAGUGAACUGGCCCAUCAGCUUUGUUUUGACUCUUGGUGCAUUAAAAAUAUAUGCCGAGAUAUUCAGUUUUUUUAUACUAGUGAAACUUGCUUUGUUUUCAUUGACUGAUGUGUGGCGCCAAUUGAAGGGUUGAUGAAAUAAAAAUCACUAAUGCUUUACAAUAUGCAGCUAGUAUUGAGUACGUUACAAGGUGGAGUACCAAUAUUAGUCUUUGGUCAAACUGGGGUUCUAUAAGCUGAUUCUCCAAAUGAGGCCCUUCCUCUUAAUUGCAG